UGACUGGAGAGGUGGCCUGGGAGGCAGCUGGAAAGGUGGCCUGGAAGCCAGUUGGAGAGGUGGCCUGGAAGGCAGUUGGAGAGGUGGCCUGGAAGGCAGUUGGAGAGGUGGCCUGGAAGGCAGUUGGAGAGGUGGCCUGGAAGGCAGUUGGAGAGACGGCCUUGAAGGCAGUUGGAGCUGUGGCCUGGAAGGAAGUUGGAGAGGUGGCCUGGAAGGCAGUUGGAGAGACGGCCUGGAAGGCAGUUGGAGCUGUGGCCUGGAAGGAAGUUGGAGAGGUGGCCUGGAAGGCAGUUGGAGAGACGGCCUGGAAGGCAGUUGGAGCUGUGGCCUGGAAGGAAGUUGGAGAGGUGGCCUGGAAGGAAGUUGGAGAGGUGGCCUGGAUAGCUGUGGGCACAGUGGCCUGAGAAGUGUCUGAAGAGGUGACCUGGGAGGCAUCACUGGCUGAGUUCACCAUUUUCUUCAAUGGCCCGUACACGCUCCUGUCCAGUAGCUUCUUUCUCUCUUUGCAGAAUCUGUACAGAGUGACAUGACAUGUGCAGUACAACUUUGAUCUGAU
rnacentral:lncRNA from 1 species